rnacentral:rRNA from 1 species
AGAGUUUGAUCAUGGCUCAGAGCGAACGCUGGCGGCAGGCUUAACACAUGCAAGUCUAACGGACGUAGCAAUACGUCAGCGGCAGACGGGAGAGUAACACGUGGGAACGCGCCCUUCGGUUCGGAAUAACUCAGGGAAACUUGAGCUAAUACCGGAUACGCCCUUACGGGGAAAGAUUUAUCGCCGAAGGAACGGCCCGCGUCCGAUUAGCUUGUUGGUGAGGUAAUGGCUCACCAAGGCGACGAUCGGUAGCUGGUCUAAGAGGAUGAUCAGCCUCACUGGGACUGAGACACGGCCCAGACUCCUACGGGAGGCAGCAGUGGGGAAUAUUGGACAAUGGGCGCAAGCCUGAUCCAGCCAUGCCGCGUGAGUGAUGAAGGCCCUAGGGUUGUAAAGCUCUUUCAGCGGGGAAGAUAAUGACGGUACCCGCAGAAGAAGCCCCGGCUAACUUCGUGCCAGCAGCCGCGGUAAUACGAAGGGGGCUAGCGUUGCUCGGAAUUACUGGGCGUAAAGCGCACGUAGGCGGCUUGUUAAGUCGGGGGUGAAAUCCUGGAGCUCAACUCCAGAACUGCCUUCGAUACUGGCAAGCUCGAGUCCGGGAGAGGUGAGUGGAACUGCGAGUGUAGAGGUGAAAUUCGUAGAUAUUCGCAAGAACACCAGUGGCGAAGGCGGCUCACUGGCCCGGUACUGACGCUGAGGUGCGAAAGCGUGAGGAGCAAACAGGAUUAGAUACCCUAGUAGUCC